rnacentral:rRNA from 1 species
GACGAACGCUGGCGGCGUGCUUAACACAUGCAAGUCGAACGGAAAGGCCCUGCUUUUGUGGGGUGCUCGAGUGGCGAACGGGUGAGUAACACGUGAGUAACCUGCCCUUGACUUUGGGAUAACUUCAGGAAACUGGGGCUAAUACCGGAUAGGAGCUCCUGCUGCAUGGUGGGGGUUGGAAAGUUUCGGCGGUUGGGGAUGGACUCGCGGCUUAUCCGCUUGUUGGUGGGGUAGUGGCUUACCAAGGCUUUGACGGGUAGCCGGCCUGAGAGGGUGACCGGCCACAUUGGGACUGAGAUACGGCCCAGACUCCUCCGGGAGGCAGCAGUGGGGAAUAUUGCACAAUGGGCGGAAGCCUGAUGCAGCAACGCCGCGUGCGGGAUGACGGCCUUCGGGUUGUAAACCGCCUUCGCCUGUGACGAAGCGUGAGUGACGGUAAUGGGUAAAGAAGCACCGGCUAACUACGUG